UACGGGAGGCAGCAGUGGGGAAUAUUGCACAAUGGGCGCAAGCCUGAUGCAGCCAUGCCGCGUGUAUGAAGAAGGCCUUCGGGUUGUAAAGUACUUUCAGUCGUGAGGAAGGUGUUAAGGUUAAUAACCUUAGCAAUUGACGUUAGCGACAGAAGAAGCACCGGCUAACUCCGUGCCAGCAGCCGCGGUAAUACGGAGGGUGCGAGCGUUAAUCGGAAUUACUGGGCGUAAAGGGCACGCAGGCGGUUAAUUAAGUUGGAUGUGAAAUCCCCGGGCUUAACCUGGGAAUGGCAUUCAAGACUGGUUAGCUAGAGUCUUGUAGAGGGGGUAGAAUUCCAUGUGUAGCGGUGAAAUGCGUAGAGAUGUGGAGGAAUACCGGUGGCGAAGGCGGCCCCUGGACAAAGACUGACGCUCAUGUGCGAAAGCGUGGGGAGCAAACAGGGAUUAGAUA
rnacentral:rRNA from 1 species